rnacentral:lncRNA from 1 species
AGGGAGCCCUGUUUUGGCCAAGCUCAAGGUUUCCAGCCCAAGUUCUGAGGUGGAUGGGUCCCUGGUCUUGGGGUGGGUUGAGGUCGGGUUUACCUGUCUCCUUUCCCCUGCUCUCCAGCCCAGCGUGAAGCCGGACUGGAAGACGCCCUCAGUCCCGCAGCAGCUCAGCCUAGUAGCUCAGGGUCCCUCUAAAAAGAGCUGUCUCGGGUGGACCUCCAAGCUCCACCAUGGCCCCCGGUGUGGGAUUUCUGGGUCUUUUCCUGGGUGGCUCCAAGAUAAAGGAUUUCAAGGGACCCCGCAAGACCUUCUUAUUUCACUAAGUGCUCAAAUCUCUGGUUAGAAGUAGUAGAGGGGAGGCCUUCCGUCUGCCAGUUGGAGUUAAAUGACCAAGGGAGUCCACCCUCACCACUAAAACUCACUCCUGGAUGUCAUUUAAAUGUCCCCUCUUUAGCUUAAAAUGUUAACCCCUAUCUCCAUGAUAAUUUGCCGGGGGAGGGGAUGGAGUGGCAUAAAUCAUGCCAUUGGAUUAGAACUGGGUUUGGAAGGAAAGAUGGAGCCAUAGGAAGGGAGCCAGCUGACCCGGAGGGAAGUCAGGGAGGAGCCACUGGGAAGAGCUCAGAAGGGGACAUACAGUGUUUCUUAUCAUAUCGUGUGUUUUCUCCAUGGGGCAGUUUUUAGCAAUUACUAUACUGUGUACUUUUAUCCAUUGAUUUCUAUAAAUUUGUACAAUCCUUCAUUGAUAAUUAGUUUAUUCCCUGAGUUUAUUUUAUUGGAGUCCAAGUUUUAGUGCCUUGGAAUUUUAAAUUAAAACAUUUCACUGUAUUGCCUGCAUUUUAACAGCAUUCCCUCCCCCAUUUUGUUACCAUAUGUUAAUAUUUCUGAAAUUGGAGUGUUUCCUUUAGGUGAUGUCAGAGGAAGGUUAACAGACUUUUUAUUUCUUCUCAAAAGAUAUUAUUAAAUUGAUUAUAUGUCUUCUAUCCAGAUUGGAGGGAACACUGUAAUUGUUUUGCUUUGGGGCACUUUCUGAAAACACCCCUUUUCUCCUACCUGUGGGUGUGCAUAUGGUUAUUUCAGCCAGGAGCUAGCUACAUGCAGUGUGCUCAAGCAGCUGUCCAUGCCACAAUCCCUGCCAUCCACAUUGCUGAAUGCCCUGCCUACGACCUUCCCCAAAAUAAUGCAGUAAAAUAUGUGCUGAACAAAAUACCAAAAUGAAGAUAGGAUUACUGAGUUUUGCCUUUUGCCUCAGCUCCAAUGUUGCUUGGCUCGUUGAUCCUGCCUUAGGGCAAAAUUCUGAUUUUUAGGAAAGAUUACAUUAAAAUAUCCUUUAUAUUGCUGGCUGAGUUUUGGGCACACUCAUAAUAUUUCCACCCAAGGCCAGAGCCUCAUUCAUCUCCCCCUUGUCUGCUCCGUCCUUCUGAUUGAUGGAAGGGUGAGAAAGAGCUUGCGGAGAACCAUCCCACGUGCUCCAGGAGGACUUCUGGAGUCCCACUCCUCACGGCCACUGCCACUGUGUAAGGAGCAGGUGAUCUUUACACAAUUUCUAAAGCCUUUUUAACCAGGGCUUGUCUUUUGUCUGGAUUAUAUUUUGUAUGACUUCAUCAAUUUUAUUGCUCUAGCAAUUCACCUUUUCACAGAAUUUUACAAAAGUACCAUUCCACAAUACAUCGGUAAUUAAAAACAACAAAGAUAUAAUGACCCCAGGUCUUUGACCAGAGGUGGCUCAGGACAAGGCUUCCUGUGGAGGGGAGCGGGCAAGCUGAGACACUUCUCAUUUGAAUUGUGGUUGGUCUGGGCAGAUGAUGGUGAGUCCAUAGUUAGUGCGCAGGCUGUUGGGGGUUUUGCGUGCUUCAGCAUAUCCAGUGAGCAGUACUGUUAACCCUGUUUCCCAGUCCAAAAAUUGGUGACUGUGGGACUGCUGUUCCAGGGCACUAGCAUCACCCGCCCUCAGGGCUUCUGCUCAACUUCUUGGCCCAUCAUGAUGGCACCACCUCUUCCCAAACCAGGUCACUGUUUCACUCAGAGAAGAUGAUUAAACUGCUGCAUCAAGGCCAAGGCCUAUGACCGAGUCGGGAACUGCAAGACAAGGGAUGUUAAGACUGUGAGUAAAGGAAACCUCCACCCAGGGCUUAGGGGUGGGUCCUGGCGCUUUAAUUUCACUUAACCCGAUUUUCCAAACUUGUCUCUGCUUUUCCUACUUCUGCUUUUUCUUUUGUCUAUUAAUAUCUCACAUAAAUGAAGAUGAUUUUGGAAGCCACAGGUCAUCUCUGUAGAGCAUCGACAACCUAGAAGGGUUCAGAAUCGGUGGUGUACUCAUGGAUUCAAAGUCCACACCUGCCCUGUGCCCUUGGAAUGUCACCGAUGGCAGGAUUCUGGGGACUUAUAGAUGGAUGUGUGUGUCUGAUGAAUCCCCCUCCUCAUUGGCAGUGUCCCCAUGUGGGAAAGGAGACAGGAAGCAACUCUUUGGUCACCAUGCUGGGUAGCUCAUAUAAAUCAUCUCCUCUAAUGUCUACUAGCCCCCCUGAGAGAACGGCAUAUGCACUUCACGGUCUAGGGAAGCUGCAUCCUAGUUGCUAGCAAGUGCUUUGCAUCCAUUAACUUAUGUCCCUUGGUUCUCAUUGCUGUUCCCUUUAUGAAAACAGAACAGAUUUGCCCCCCUCCUCUUUUAAAAGCUUUACGCAAGACUAAGAAGACUCUCUAGUAAAUGCCUCCCAGGUGACUUAGAUAGGCUACAGGACAUCUCUGCUGCCUUGUUUCCAGACAGUGACUUAGGAUUGUGAGAGCAAUGGCUUCUAUCUUCAGGACCCCAGGGACUCAAUUCCAUCCCAAAUGCCACUCUUGGAAAAAUGAUCCAACAAGGUGUGGGCUUGGGGCCUCUGUAAAUGCUGUGCUAACUCACUGGACACCAAGCUCAGGGCAUGUACCUGACGAUGGCAACCAAGGCCAACAGGCACAUUCCCAUUUCCACUUCCCUUUCAGCUUGGGCACUCACCAGUGCAAAUGAAGCCACUAGUGUUGAUACCUGAGGGAAGAGAGGCAGGGGGCCCGGGUGAGUGGAACACUGCCCUGGGAUGCCAAAUCUCCUGACCACCCCCUUCAUGGGUCCAUUUUGAUUUUGGGGGCACCCAAUUUGGCCCCCUCCUCCAUCUCCUUUCAGGCUGCCCUUGAUCCAUAAUGCCUGUCAACCUCAGGCAGCCCCGUUGGCGAGAUCCGGGAUGCACUUUGGGAGGAGGAAAGGGCGAACUCUGUAGCAAUGUUCUCCCAAGGGUCAGAAUUGCUGUUCACUUCUUCCCUUGGGGAGAAGCCUGGGUCUUUGCCAGCCCUGUGCCUAAAAGCACAUUCAGCAAUUCUCCAGAACAACAGAUUCAGCAAGCAGGGUGCGUGGAACCACGCAGUGGGGCACAGUGGAGAGCGUCUGUUUGCUAAAUAAAAGGCAGGUAAUCCCAGCAAUCAGCUCCCUUCCUGACUAAGGGCCGUAGUCACGUAAACAGCAUUAGCUGGGAAUGAAGUCGUUGGUUCUGCCAACAGCUGCCUUCGUCACUGACCCACAGCAUGCCUGUUCUAGUGAUCUGCCUCACCUGCCAUGGGGUGAAACGUCUGGGCUCCCCAGGUUGCAGAAUGGGACUAAAGGUCUCUGUGUGUCAGCCCUAGACUUAGUUAUUAGCAUGCAAUAAGCAGACCAUCAACCCUGGGAAGUUUGGAGUCCCACUAUAACCUGAAUAUGGCUCCUGACCGUUUUCUGACCUCUUGAUCAUCUGUCCAUUGGUACGUGAGUAAAUAAUGCAAAUUAAUCAUAAUCAUUUCCUAAGCAAACAAAGUUACUUUGGCAAUUAUACCAGCUCCAAAGUGCAGGGCAAUGUGGCCCUAACGAACAUGGGAGGGUGUAUCUGAUCUCCUGGCUGACCACUGAUGACGUCCCCUCAGGUAACAUGUAGCUGACAGCCAGGCCUGGCCUCUAGAACAUCAUCAGGGCUUUUCAUCAAGACUCCAGGAGAAAAUAAAUGCACAUAUCAUCUGUGCCCUUGGCAUGGGCAGCAAGGGUGACCUUGAUUUUCAGGUGUGCACAGCUACCUUUGACCUUCAAGUCCCACUGGAGAGGCAUAGGCACGAUCCCAACGAAAAGGAAGCUGCCUGAGUCAGCCCCCAGCGACCUUGCGUAGUCCACCAUUGUCCUUGUGUCUUAGCACUUCAGUCUGCAAUCAAUCAAUGCCCAUUUGGUGCUCAGCAAAUCCCACAGAGAUGUUCAGUUCAAGGACUCUGGACGGACGUGCAGGACGGAUCUCAAGGACAUGGUGGUAUUUGACAACUCUCCUUAUGCCAAUGUGGAUCAAAAGAUAUUUUGUACAAUGUUCCUAAAUAUAACUCCUAAGAAUUGCAUGAGGUCUUGGAAGAAAACGGGGGGAGAGAGAAGCCUUCCAAGUGGGACUCCCGGUGGCUUACACAAGCUUCCUCUGCCUCAGCACCACACACAGGGCCAACAGCACCACCGUGCUGAAAGCCUUGCUUUGCCUUUUCUGUCCCCACUUAUUGUAGCUUUUGACCUUCUAGGUCAAAGAGCAAAGUGUAAUUACAAAGUUCAUUGUCCACUAGCCUGUGUAAGAGGACAUUUUCUUGUCACUGUAGCGCCUAUUCACCAUGGCUCACGGUCUUCCCAACACUUGUGGGAUGAAUGCAGAAGUGUCUUUGGGUAACCUCAGGUUUCUGCUCAAAGAUGCCUUCCCUGCCCCACCCUGCUCUGAACUGGGAACAACAGCCCCAGGAUCUCCUGCUGACUGGCGUCUGGCCAGGUUUGGCCAACUGGAGACGGUGGGGGAGGUAGGAGCGGGAGGAGGAGGGAGGCAGAGGGUCUCCUGCUCUGGUUUCACUUUGGGCAGCCCAGAGCAUCCCCUGAGAGCCCUGGACGUAUGAGCACAAGUCUGAGGCUGAGUGGGUGAGCCCAGUGGGCGGCUGGAGGACGAGGGUACCAGAAGCGUGAAAGGUGGCUUGCGGUGUUCCAAGUUUGGUGAGAGGAAGGUCAGGUAGGGCUCAGCCCUUCCAUCAGCGAGGACUGGCUUUGACCCGAGUGAGGCCCAUCAGCUAGAAGAGCAGGGGUGUGUGUGAACAACACCUGGUGCAGCGGGCGCCCGGGAAGGGGCAGGAGGGGUCCUCAGUGGACACCUGAACAGAGCUCCACUGAACACGGGAGUGGACAGGGAGGAACGGGGUCAGCAGAGGGAUCCUUCUAAGUCGAGGUAUAUCACCCAUGUUGAUGUGCUCAGGACAGCACCCCAACCAGGCGGGAGGGGUGGAUGAUGCAGGAAGGAGGGAAAAGGGCCGCGGAAUCCUCCUAUUCCAGGAGGAUUGCAAGUUCAAGAUCAACUUUAGCAACUUAGUGAGGCCCUAGGGACUUAGUGAGAAGGAGGGAAAAG